ACGAAGUGCCCUUCGCCACUUGUGCCUUGAGAGGACUGCUUGCCCGCCUCUUGCCCUGUGACUAUGGACCCUGGGAGAUUUGGCCCGUUCAAUUCAGAGGGAUAGGAGUUAUGUAUUUUUGUAUCCUUUUGUGUUUUACUGGGAACAUGUGCUCAAUGGAGUCUGCUUCUAUCCCUGGAUAAUUGGAUUACUUUCCCCAUUGUCUCCAGGCUAGAGGGCUCUGUAAAACCAGUUUGG